UGGCUGAGGGCCCUGCUCCCCAGGGCUCCCUGUGGUUUCACUGCUUCGAGGCAGCCCUGCAAGGAGAGGUGCACCUCACGUCCUACACGAGCCCCCGGCACCAGGAGGCCCUGAGCCAGAUGCACCGUGUGCCAGCCUGUUCCUGGCCUGCAGCACAGGGCGCCAUGCGGCCAUGCCAGGGUAAGAGCUUGUCGCUGGUUCACGGCCCCCUUGCCGGGGGGUCUGUGGGAGAUGAAGCCCCAGCAGGUGCGCCCCCAUUCCAGGUGGUGCUCACGGGGUACCCUGGACCUGGCAGCCGGCCUGUUCCCCCCCCUGCUCUGCCAAAGCUGGGCACAGGCAACU